rnacentral:tRNA from 1 species
GGAGAGAUGCCGGGCGGCUGAACGGACCGGUCUCGAAAACCGGGUAGGGGCUCUACCGGGGUUCAAAUCCCCUCUCUCCGCCA